GAUGAACGCUAGCGGCAGGCCUAAUACAUGCAAGUCGAACGAUAGUCUUGUCUUCGGAUGAGAUGAGAGUGGCGCACGGGUGAGUAACGCGUACACGACCUACCUUACAGAGGGGGAUAGCCUUGGGAAACUGGGAGUAAUCCGCCAUAGUGUAUAUGAUCUGCAUGGAUGGUAUACUAAAGCUUCGGCGCUGUAAGAUGGGUGUGCGUCUGAUUAGGUAGUUGGUAGGGUAACGGCCUACCAAGCCAACGAUCAGUAGGGGGCUGAGAGCGUGGUCCCCCACACGGGUACUGAGACACGGACCCGACUCCUACGGGAGGCAGCAGUAAGGAAUAUUGGUCAAUGGAGGGAACUCUGAACCAGCCAUCCCGCGUGAAGGAUGAAGGGGCUCUGCCUUGUAAACUUCUUUUGCAUGGGACGAAAAAACUUAUUUAUUAAGGACUGACGGUACCAUGAGAAUAAGCACCGGCUAACUCCGUGCCAGCAGCCGCGGU
rnacentral:rRNA from 1 species